UAGAGUUUGAUCCUGGCUCAAAAUGAACGCUGGCGGCAUGGAUUAGGCAUGCAAGUCGAACGGAGCGUUCCCCGCAAGGGGGACAAUCAGUGGCGUAAGGGUGAGUAACACGUGAGCAACCUGCCCCCGAGUCCGGGAUAGGCCUGGGAAACUGGGAUUAAUACCGGAUGUGGUUUCCCCGUGCAUGCGGGGAGGACUAAAGAUUUAUCGCUCGGGGAUGGGCUCGCGUCCCAUAAGCUAGUUGGUGAGGUAACGGCUCACCAAGGCGAUGACGGGUAGCUGGUCUGAGAGGAUGGUCAGCCACACUGGGACUGAGACACUGCCCAGACUCCUACGGGAGGCUGCAGUCGAGAAUCUUCCGCAAUGGGCGAAAGCCUGACGGAGCAAUGCCGCGUGAGGGAUGACGGCCUUCGGGUUGUAAACCUCUGUCACCCGGGACGAAGGAUGUGACGGUACCGGGAGAGGAAGCCACGGCUAACUACGUGCCAGCAGCCGCGGUAAUACGUAGGUGGCGAGCGUUAUUCGGAUUCACUGGGCGUAAAGGGUCCGCAGGGGGUUUGCCAAGUCUGAUGUGAAAUACCGAGGCUCAACCUUGGAACUGCAUUGGAAACUGGUGAACUGGAGUGCACGAAGGGUGAGCGGAAUUCCUGGUGUAGCGGUGGAAUGCGUAGAUAUCAGGAAGAACACCGAUGGCGAAGGCGGCUCACUGGCGUGUAACUGACCCUCAGGGACGAAAGCGCGGGGAGCAAACAGGAUUAGAUACCCUGGUAGUCCACGCUGUAAACGGUGUGCACUAGAUGUGGGCGGAUUUGAUCCCGUCCGUGUCCAAGCUAACGCGUUAAGUGCACCGCCUGGGGACUACGGCCGCAAGGUUAAAACUCAAAGGAAUUGACGGGGGCCCGCACAAGCGGUGGAGCAUGUGGCUCAAUUCGAGGCAACGCGAAGAACCUUACCUGGGCUUGACAUGUACCUGACAGCCUGUGAAAGCAGGUCUUCCUUCGGGACGGGUACACAGGUGCUGCAUGGCUGUCGUCAGCUCGUGUCGUGAGAUGUUCGGUUAAGUCCGGCAACGAGCGCAACCCGUGUCGUCAGUUGCGACCAGAUAAUGCUGAGCACUCUGACGAGACUGCCCGUGUCAAGCGGGAGGAAGGCGCGGAUGACGUCAAGUCCGUAUGGCCCUUACGUCCAGGGCUGCACACGUGCUACAAUGGGCGGCACAAUGAGACGCGAGACCGCGAGGUGGAGCAAAUCUGUGAAAACCGCCCCCAGUUCAGAUUGAAGUCUGCAACUCGACUUCAUGAAGCCGGAAUCGCUAGUAAAGGGGUAUCAGCAACGGCCCCUUGAAUACGUUCCCGGGCCUUGUACACACCGCCCGUCACAUCAUGGGAGCUGGCUGCACCCGAAGUCACUGACUCAACUCGCAAGAGAGAGAGGUGCCGAAGGUGUGUCCAGUGACUGGGAUGAAGUCGUAACAAGGUAACC
rnacentral:rRNA from 1 species